rnacentral:rRNA from 1 species
UACGUAGGGUGCGAGCGUUAAUCGGAAUUACUGGGCGUAAAGCGUGCGCAGGCGGUUUUGUAAGACAGGUGUGAAAUCCCCAGGCUUAACCUGGAAACUGCAUUCGAGACUGCAUUGCUAGAGUAUGGGAGAGGGAAGUGGAAUUUCAGGUGUAGCGGUGAAAUGCGUAGAUAUCUGAAGGAACAUCAGUGGCGAAAGCGAUUUCCUGGACCAAUACUGACGCUCAUGUGCGAAAGCGUGGGGAGCAAACAGG